rnacentral:lncRNA from 10 species
GUUGCACCAAGGAGAAUGUGAAACCCAAGGGUCCACCUGCCUCCUCUCCAGCCUGGCCCAGAAAGCACCUUUGAAAGCAGGCCGCUGGGCUACAAAAGAACGCCUGAAGCGCCGUGGCGCGUGGCCUUCAAGGCCUUGCUGGUUCCGUGAUGCAGUGGCAGGAGGCAUUUCUACAUGAGUCCGAUCCAUACACGUGUGGGAAACACAGAAGCACGUUGAGAGCAAAUGCUGAUCACUUGGCGGAGACUUUCCUGCCUCCCUUCAAGCAAGUCACCCCAUCGGUCUUCUAUCAGAGUCACGGAUGACAAAACCCACCUCUCCCCAUCAAAAAUGCAAAAGAAAUCCGUGCUCAAUAAAUGAAACAGGAAGGCUGUUGAACUUAAUUUUAAUUUUACAUUUGAAAGAAAAUUCUUUAGCUUUUUAAAUAAUGUUAUAUAUACCUUAAAGAUCCCUCUAUGAAAUAAGUCGUCUUCAAUAGAAAGUUAAAACUAGCUGGGGGCUGGGCACAGUGGCUUACACCUGUAAUCCCAGCACUUUGGGAGGCCGAGGCAGGCGGAUCACCUGAGGUCAGGAAAUCGAGGUCAUCCUGGCUAACUCGGUGAAACCCCGUCUCUAUUAAAAAUGCAAAAAUUAGCCAGACCU